rnacentral:lncRNA from 12 species
CUGGGGUGCCAGCAGGACGGACAGCAGAGCCCGAGGCUGAGGGGGAGCCCAGGGACACAGGUCAGGAGCCCUAGGGGUUCAGACUGGGGAGGUGAGACCACCAGGCUGCUUGUGAGCACAGAGUUGGGGCCUCCCCUGCACUGGGGCUCCUAGACGGGGCUGUUCCUACAUUUGCUCUGCAAUGAUCUCCUGAGCCCACUGCAGGAGCUGAGGUAACAGGAGAGACCUGAAUGGGCUAAUCUACUGGACAGUGAGGUCCCAGGGCUAACAGUUGGCCCCGCCCUUGGGGUGUGGAAGAGCCCAAGGUCUCUUGAGUGACGUCUUUCAUCCUCUCUUCCUCUAUGUUCUAGAUGCUUCCCCAGCCUCACUGUAGGCCCAGAUGGAUCCAGCAGGGAGGCAGCCUGCCAUGGGCCCCUGCUCAGGGGACCCCCAACUGGGCGGGGCCUCCUGGCUCCUGGGACUCACCAGCCUCCUCCUCAGCGUCUGCAGCACUGGCACCCAGGGUUCUGCAGCCCAUGGUUCUGGAGUUGAGGAUUCUGGAAACCCCGUUUCCCUGAAGGGGAUGCAAGGAGCUUCUGUGUUGUUUCAAGUGCUCAGAAACCCAGACUUGCCUGCAGGAGUCGAGCUGGAGAAGAUGACCUGGGGGAUCUCCUCCGGGGCAAACUACACAACCCUGCUGCAGGUCUCCCCUGGGGCACGCGAUCCAGAAUGGGUCAACUUCCAGGACAAGUUCCAGAAGAGGGUCCAUGUGCUCAACAUUACGACCCUGAGGAUGAACAACCUGACCCUGGAGGACACUGGGCUGUACCGGGCUCGGGGCUUCUACUCCAGAGGAAGACAAUACGACCAGGAUUUCCACCUGACUGUGUAUGAGCCCCUGCCCCUUCCCCAGAUCUGGGCCAAGGAUCGGUUCAUCACCCCAGGCUGGUGCAAUGUCACCGUGAAGUGUGACACCAUGGGAACCAGGGAGGACCUGACCCUGUCCUGGGAGAGGAAGAGACUCCCCAGGGAACUGGAACAACGAGUGGCCCCAGGACCAGCUCCCAACCCCUGGACCCUGGCUCUGAGCCUGCCCCUCAGCCAGCCCAGCGCCAGCCUCACCUGUGUGCUCAGCAACCAAGAGGACCAGAAAACUGUCACCUUGGACCUUGGGGACAUCUGUGGUCAUGGUCACCCCACCUGUUGGCCUGGAUCCCGGAUGUGUCCUGCUGUCCUCAGCCUCCAACCUCUGGUCAGGCUCCUCUCUCUUCCCUCAGCCCUUCCAGGUCAGGAUCCUCACUCCCCCUACUCCCAUCCAGGGACCCCUUGGCUCCAGCUGGCUCUGGGCCCUGACACCCAAGCAGUCCCCGGGGCUGCCGCUGGGGGCAGGUCGAGCAUGAAGAGAGUUUGACCCCGGGGUCUGGGCCUCAGGGGCUCAGGCCCCGCAGGAGCUGCUGCCGUCCUGCCCUCACACCUGCGUCCUCUCAGGAGCCGCCAGGGGCCCCCACACUGAGAGUGAGGCUCUGCGCCAGGAUGAGCCUCCUCUGCAGCCCCAAGCCCUGGAUGGCAGCGGCCACAUCUGCUUCUCCUUGAAUUCCUGUCCCAACUCGGCCCCGGGCUGUUUGCUCACAGUCUGUGUUUCCCUGAGUGAAUGAGAGACCCGGUGCCCCAUGUGCCCCCUCGGCCCUCCCACCUCCUCCACCAGCAGCUGGAGCCCCGCUGUCUCAGUAUCCCCGAUCCCAGGGAAACUAAUCGCUCAUGGACACAGUGGACCCUCUGGAAAGAGGCCCCUGCCUCCCUCGCAUCCUCCUACCUGGCUCCUCCCUCUUGGUCCUCCUCCCACCUGCCCCAGUGGGUGCUGGAGCUCCAGGGCUGGCAGGUGCCCCCCUCCCUGUUCAUGGCCCUCCUUCCUGGAAGGCGGCACCCACCCUGCCUGUCUGCUCUCUGCACUCCUCCCUCAGGAUGAGGUUUCUCAUCACCUCCUCCAGGAGGCCCUCCCUGACCACGUGUGUACAGGCUGGGAGCUCCUGUGCCCUGGGAUGGCUCUGGCUGGCUCCCUCUGGCACCUUCUCACCCUCCUCCCACUGAGGUGUCCUCAGGGGUGGGCACCGUGUCCUGUUCCUCUCAGCACCUGGGUCCCAAGCAGGAGCUCGGGAAGUGUUGAGUGAAAGCACCUGCCUUGCUGCUCCCUCCUCAGCUUCUGAGCAGGUGCCUUCAGACGUGUCCACGUGCUGGGCAAUGGGUAUCUGUUCUUCUCUCAGUCCUUAACCUUCUCCAUCUCUCUGUGGAGGGAAGCAGAUCCACAGGGACAGGCUGAUGCCUCCCAACUACCCAGCAUCCUGGGGACUGUUGUGGUCCUGCUGCUGAUCCUGGGAGCUGGACUGUUCCUCUGGAGGACACGAGUGAAGAAGAGCCUGGAGCCUGGGAGAGGCAGGUUGCACUUCUCCUCCCUGGGCCCACACACCUCCCUCCCCUGGACCCUGGGCUCCCUUCCUCCUGCCUUACUGCUCAGGGGAUGUCCCUGCAGGAGGCUGGUGGGGGCGGCCAUGGCCUUGGGGUCAUGGAGGGGAGGGUACAGGUUUCCAGGGCUCAGACUUCAGCUCCCUCUGUGUAUGACCCAGGUGCAGGGUCGCAGGAGGAGCAUAGGGAUCCCGAUAGUGGCAUCUACUAUGCAGAGCUGAGCCAGCAGGGGUCUGGAGACAGCAGGGACAAGGUGAGGCUGGGAGAGGGGCCAGCCUGGGUCCUCCCUGAUCCCUGUGUGCCUGGGUAUGUGCUUGUCAAUUCACGUCAUCCACAGGGUCUGACCACUGUAUCCUGGAACCCUUUCAGGACAACACAGUAUUAGCUACGAAAUUCAUCUCGGGACCCAUGCAGUGCUGCGUGAUUAGGGGAGGUCAUGUCAGCAGCACUGGGUCUGUGGGGGUCCUGUUGGGGCUUUCUGUCUGUCUGCUGUUGCAGGACCCUCUGUCUGCAUUCCAGGGUAGAGGUGCAGCACAUCUGGAAGGGAACAAGCCUCUCACUACUGUCUACAGUGAGGUCCGCAGGGCAGGCGUGGCCCUGAUGAGGAUUUAAUUGGAAGAAGCCGGAGAAUCCCGCCCUCCGGGGACAGCUGUCUUGGGAGCAUGAUGCCUGCAGCUCUGGUCUCACCUCUUCCUCCUCUGACUCCUCUGGUGAGGGACUGGCUGGUCCAAGCAUCAGUUAGUGUCUAUGCUAAGUGGUUCUGCACACGUUUGCGAUUAGACAUCUGUAGGUCUUUCAAGAGGGGAAACUGAGUAAAUAAAUUGACAGAAACAUGUGUCA